GACGAACGCUGGCGGCGUGCUUAACACAUGCAAGUCGAACGAUGAACUUGGAGCUUGCUCUGGGGGAUUAGUGGCGAACGGGUGCGUAACACGUGAGUAACCUGCCCUGGACUCUGGGAUAACUUCGAGAAAUCGGAGCUAAUACCGGAUAGGACCCUGCACCGCCAGGUGAGGGGUGGAAAGCUUUUCGGGUUGGGAUGGCCUCGCGGCCUAUCAGCUUGUUGGUGAGGUAAUGGCUCACCAAGGCGUCGACGGGUAGCCGGCCUGGGAGGGUGACCGGCCACACUGGGCCUGAGACACGGCCCAGACUCCUACGGGAGGCAGCAGUGGGGAAUAUUGCACAAUGGGCGCAAGCCUGAUGCAGCAACGCCGCGUGCGGGAUGACGGCCUUCGGGUUGUAAACCGCUUUUAGUAGGGAAGAAGCCUUCGGGUGACGGUACCUGCAGAAAAAGGACCGGCUAACUACGUGCCAGCCGCCGCAGUAAAAC
rnacentral:rRNA from 1 species